GAUGAACGCUGGCGGCGUGCCUAAUACAUGCCAGUCGAGCGAACAGACGAGGAGCUUGCUCCUCUGACGUUAGCGGCGGACGGGUGAGUAACACGUGGAUAACCUACCUAUAAGACUGGGAUAACUUCGGGAAACCGGAGCUAAUACCGGAUAAUAUAUUGAACCGCAUGGUUCAAUAGUGAAAUACGGUUUUGCUGUCACUUAUAGAUGGAUCCGCGCCGCAUUAGCUAGUUGGUAAGGUAACGGCUUACCAAGGCGACGAUGCGUAGCCGACCUGAGAGAGUGAUCGGCGACACGGGAAGGGAGACAGGGACAAGACUCCUACGGGAGGCAGCAGUAGGGAAUCUUCCGCAAUGGGCGAAAGCCUGACGGAGCAACGCCGCGUGAGUGAUGAAGGUCUUCGGAUCGUAAAACUCUGUUAUUAGGGAAGAACAAAUGUGUAAGUAACUAUGCACGUCUUGACGGUACCUAAUCAGAAAGCAACGGCUAACUACGUG
rnacentral:rRNA from 1 species